CGGGACGUAGUUCAGCCUGGUAGAGCGCUUGCAUGGGGUGCAAGAAGUCGCUGGUUCGAAUCCAGUCGUCCCGACCA
rnacentral:tRNA from 1 species